CGUAGGGCGCGAGCGUUGUCCGGAUUUAUUGGGCGUAAAGAGCUCGUAGGCGGUUUGUCGCGUCGUUCGUGAAAACUUGGGGCUUAACUCCAAGCUUGCGGUCGAUACGGGCAGGCUAGAGUUCGGUAGGGGAGACUGGAAUUCCUGGUGUAGCGGUGAAAUGCGCAGAUAUCAGGAGGAACACCGGUGGCGAAGGCGGGUCUCUGGGCCGAUACUGACGCUGAGGAGCGAAAGCGUGGGGAGCGAACAGGAUUAGAUACCCUGGUAGUCCACGCUGUAAACGUUGGGCGCUAGGUGUGGGGGACCUCUCCGGUUCUCUGUGCCGCAGCUAACGCAUUAGGCGCCCCGCCUGGGGAGUACGGCCGCAAGGCUA
rnacentral:rRNA from 1 species